rnacentral:rRNA from 1 species
GACGAACGCUGGCGGCGUGCUUAACACAUGCAAGUCGAACGGUAAGGCCCUUCGGGGUACACGAGUGGCGAACGGGUGAGUAACACGUGGGUGAUCUGCCCUGCACUUCGGGAUAAGCCUGGGAAACUGGGUCUAGUACCGGAUAGGACUCCUGCCUGCAUGGGUGGGGGUGGAAAGCUUUUGCGGUGUGGGAUGGGCCCGCGGCCUAUCAGCUUGUUGGUGGGGUGAUGGCCUACCAAGGCGACGACGGGUAGCCGGCCUGAGAGGGUGACCGGCCACACUGGGACUGAGAUACGGCCCAGACUCCUACGGGAGGCAGCAGUGGGGAAUAUUGCACAAUGGGCGCAAGCCUGAUGCAGCGACGCCGCGUGAGGGAUGACGGCCUUCGGGUUGUAAACCUCUUUCAGCACAGACGAAGCGCAAGUGACGGCAUGUGCAGAAGAAGGACCGGCCAACUACGUGCCAGCCGCCGCGGUAA